rnacentral:rRNA from 1 species
CCUACGGGAGGCAGCAGUGGGGAAUAUUGCACAAUGGGGGAAACCCUGAUGCAGCGACGCCGCGUGAGUGAAGAAGUAUUUCGGUAUGUAAAGCUCUAUCAGCAGGGAAGAAAAUGACGGUACCUGACUAAGACGCCCCGGCUAACUACGUGCCAGCAGCCGCGGUAAUACGUAGGGGGCAAGCGUUAUCCGGAUUUACUGGGUGUAAAGGGAGCGUAGACGGCAGCACAAGUCUGGAGUGAAAUGCCGGGGCUUAACCCCGGAACUGCUUUGGAAACUGUGCGGCUAGAGUGCAGGAGAGGUAAGUGGAAUUCCUAGGGUAGCGGUGAAAUGCGUAGAUAUUAGGAGGAACACCGGUGGCGAAGGCGGCUUACUGGACUGUAACUGACGUUGAGGCUCGAAAGCGUGGGGAGCAAACAGGAUUAGAUACCCUAGUAGUC